rnacentral:rRNA from 1 species
GCCCGCUCAGAAACUCAAAGGAAUUGACGGGGGCCCGCACAAGCGGUGGAGCAUGUGGUUUAAUUCGAUGAUACGCGAAGAACCUUACCAGGUCUUGACAUCCCCCGCGAUGCUUUAGAGAUAAAGCGGAGGUAUUCGGGGAGACAGGUGGUGCAUGGUUGUCGUCAGCUCGUGUCGUGAGAUGUUGGGUUAAGUCCCGCAACGAGCGCAACCCUUGUGUUUUAGUUGCAAACAGGUCAAGCUGUGCACUCUAGACAGACUGCCGUGGACAACACGGAGGAAGGUGGGGAUGACGUCAAAUCAUCAUGCCCCUUAUGAUCUGGGCUACACACGUGCUACAAUGGCCGGUACAACGGGCAGCGAAGGAGCGAUCCGGAGCGAAUCCUAAAAAGCCGGUCCCAGUUCGGAUUGCAGGCUGAAACUCGCCUACAUGAAGUUGGAGUUGCUAGUAAUCGCGAAUCAGAAUGUCGCGGUGAAUGCGUUCCCGGGUCUU